ensembl:misc_RNA 7SK 7SK RNA
GGGGGGAGGGCAAUGUGGCUGCGACAUCUGUCACCCCAUUGAUCGCCAGAGUUGAUUCGGCUGAUCUGGCUGGAGAGGCGGGUAUCCCCUUUCUCCCUCACCGCUCCACGUGCGUCCCUCCCGAAGCGGCGCGCUCGGUCGAAGAGGACGACCUUCGCGGUAGAGGAGGGCCUUCUUCGUCGAGGGUACACAGUAGGAGCGCUCCCCUGCUAGAACCUCCAAACAAGCUCUCAAGGAAAGAAAUUCUAUUUGUGAAGCCGCUCUCUACCCUAAGCAGACUCUUGGACAAACCUCAGGCGUCUAACUAG